UUCUGCGUGUGUGCACCACGCAAGGCGGAGCCCCUAGCCCUAAAACGUAUAGGGCGCUAGGCCUCCCCGUCGCCGCCUCCUGCCUACCUCGCCCUUCUGUCGCGCAGUCGAGCACGUCGUCGCCAGGGAGCCACGCGCCCGGCCCCCUGCAGAUCGCCCCGCUGCUGCCCAGGAGCGCCGUCGUCGCGUGCCUCAGCCAGGCCACGUUUCCGGCUGCUUCCUUGUCCUGGCCGCACAUGCACAUGCUGCUGCGCCCUUUGGUCUCGCUUGGAGGAUGAUCAGAAAUUCAGAAUCGCCACCAUCGAUCGAAAUCGGCCAGCUCACUCGUUCCCGGCCAAGCAAUUGCCGCCGAUGCAAGAUGCAGAACGUCGCCUGCUGCCGCCAUGCCCAUCUGCACCCUGCCUCACGUGGAAAGAAAGAAGGCUGAGGCCUUGGUCGUCGCCCCCUCUGCUCGUGUCCCCUGCGCGCUGCCGUCGCUCAGAAGCAAGUCAUCGCCGGCCACCGCUGCAGCAGCUCGUCGGAAAGCAAUGCCGCCUGCCGUCAGUUGCCCGAUUCGCCGUGACCGUAGCAUGGAUCACAAAUCCAGGGCCACCACGUCGAUCACUGCAUCAAGCCGAAUCUGUUUUGCCGGUCUUCGUCGCCCCUUCUUCGCCGGACGCCGCCAUCCAUGGUGCUGCCGCUGCUAAUCCGCUCCAUCGUGACCUCUCCUCCAACUCGUGUUUUUCUCGGUAGCAUCUCGAAGGAUCAUUGUUUGAAGCUUGAAGAAUCAAUACUCCUAAGUGAGCAAGAGCUGAAGAGCAGCGAAGAACAGUAAGAGUAGCUUUUCAUUGGUGAAAGGCAAGUGACUCUAACCAUACUUCUAUCUAUACUUUAUUUACAAGAAUACUUUGUUUAAUUAGAACAUGGAGAACCAAAAAAAAAAACAGUACAACCACAAUACUAUAUGGCUCUGGUCUUGGCUAAUUAAUUAGAAACUCUAGCUUGUGACAGUCUUACCGAAAGGGCAAGAGGGGAUGCA